rnacentral:rRNA from 1 species
GCGGCGAACGGGUGAGUAACACGUGGGUGAUCUGCCUCGCACUUCGGGAUAAGCCUGGGAAACUGGGUCUAAUACCGGAUAUGACUUCUGGUCGCAUGGCUGGGGGUGGAAAGAUUUAUCGGUGCGAGAUGGGCCCGCGGCCUAUCAGCUUGUUGGUGGGGUAAUGGCCUACCAAGGCGACGACGGGUAGCCGGCCUGAGAGGGCGACCGGCCACACUGGGACUGAGACACGGCCCAGACUCCUACGGGAGGCAGCAGUGGGGAAUAUUGCACAAUGGGCGAAAGCCUGAUGCAGCGACGCCGCGUGAGGGAUGACGGCCUUCGGGUUGUAAACCUCUUUCGACAGGGACGAAGCGCAAGUGACGGUACCUGUAGAAGAAGCACCGGCCAACUACGUGCCAGCAGCCGCGGUAAUACGUAGGGUGCGAGCGUUGUCCGGAAUUACUGGGCGUAAAGAGCUUGUAGGCGGUUUGUCGCGUCGUCUGUGAAAA